GAAGACUGGCGCUACUCAAGACAGCCCGACCAAAGGGGCCGGGUCCUACACACCUCGGUCGCCAAGCCCCCGCCAGCUCGCCGCGCCGAGGCCAGCUCGCCGCGCAGGCGCAGUGGGCCGGACUCGCCAUGCCGACUGUCAGCCUGAAGCGCGAUUUGCUCUUCCGAGCUCUGGGCCGGACCUACACUGACGAAGAAUUUGAUGAACUAUGUUUUGAAUUUGGUCUGGAACUUGAUGAAAUUACAUCUGAGAAGGAAAUUAUAAGUAAGGAACAAGGUAAUGAAAAGGCACAGGGGGCCUCUGAUGUUGUUCUCUACAAAAUUGAUGUUCCUGCCAAUAGAUAUGAUCUCCUGUGUCUGGAAGGAUUGGUUCGAGGACUUCAGGUCUUCAAAGAAAGGAUAAAGGCUCCAAUGUAUAAACGGGUAAUGCCUAAUGGAGAAAUCCAGAAAUUGAUCAUCACAGAAGAGACAGCUAAAAUACGCCCGUAUGCUGUUGCAGCAGUUCUCCGAAACAUAAAGUUUACUAAAGAUCGAUAUGAAAGCUUCAUUGAACUUCAGGAGAAGUUACAUCAGAACAUUUGCAGGAAAAGAGCCUUGGUUGCUAUUGGUACCCAUGACUUGGACACUUUGUCAGGCCCAUUUACUUAUACUGCGAAGAAACCUUCCGAUAUCAAAUUCAAGCCUCUAAAUAAGACCAAGGAGUAUACAGCCUGUGAACUGAUGAACAUAUACAAGACUGACAACCACCUUAAACAUUAUUUACAUAUAAUUGAAAAUAAACCUCUGUAUCCGGUUAUCUAUGAUAGCAAUGGUGUCGUCCUUUCAAUGCCUCCAGUCAUCAAUGGACAUCAUUCCAAAAUAACAGUAAAUACUAGAAAUAUAUUUAUUGAAUGCACAGGGACUGACUUUACUAAGGCAAAAAUAGUUCUUGAUAUCAUUGUUACCACGUUCAGUGAAUAUUGUGAGAAUCAAUUUACGGUUGAAGCAGCUGAGGUAGUUUUUCCUAAUGGAAAAUUACAUACCUUUCCAGAACUGGCUUAUCGAAAGGAGAUGGUGAGAGCUGAUCUAAUUAACAAAAAAGUUGGGAUCAGAGAAACUCCAGAAAAUCUUGCCAAGCUUCUGACCAGGAUGUGUUUAAAGUCAGAAGUCAUAGGCGAUGGGAAUCAGAUUGAAAUUGAAAUCCCUCCAACCAGAGCUGACAUUAUCCACGCCUGUGAUAUCAUAGAAGAUGCAGCUAUUGCUUAUGGAUAUAACAACAUUCAGAUGACUCUCCCGAAAACAUACACCAUAGCUAAUCAAUUUCCUCUAAAUAAACUCACAGAACUCCUGAGACACGACAUGGCAGCUGCUGGAUUCACUGAGGCACUUACCUUUGCUCUGGCCUCUCACUGUUGUGGCCUCUCCCGUUGCGGAGCACAGGCUCCGGAUGCGCAGGCUCAGCGGCCAUGGCUCACGGGCCCAGCCGCUCCGCGGCAUGUGGGAUCUUCCCGGACCGGGGCACGAACCCGUGUCCCCAGCAUCGGCAGGCGAACUCUCAACCACUGUGCCACCAGGGAAGCCCUAAUCUUUUUUUUAAAUUAAUUUAUUUUAUUUAUUUUUGGCUGUGUUGGGUCUUCUUUUCUGCAAGUGGGCUCUCUAGUUGUGGCAAGCGGGGGCUACUCUUCGUUGCAGUGCGUGGGCUUCUCAUUGCGGUGGCUUCUCUUGUUGCGGAGCAUGGGCUCUAGGCGUGCAGGCUUCAGUAGUUGUGGUGCACGGGCUCAGUAGUGUGGCUCUCAGGCUCUAGAGCGCAGGCUCGGUAGUUGUGGUGCACGGGCUUAGUUGCUCCGCAGCAUGUGGGAUCUUCCUGGACCAGGGCUCGAACCCGUGUCCCCUGCAUUGGCAGGCGGAUUCUUAACCACUGCACCACCAGGGAAGUCCCAACACCUUCCUUUUUCUGGUUUAGAAAUCUUUUAUUCAACAACAUUUAUGGAACAUCUGUUAUAUGCCAGGCACUGUGCCAGUGAGGAAGCCGGAGGCCAAGAGAGGAUAAGUACCCAGCAAAGUUUACACAGACAGCAGGAGAACCAUGACCAGAAUCUGGCCUUUUGACUCCUUGAGGAGUGCUUUUCUGUUAUGUCAAACUGAAUGCUAGGUUUGAGGACCAUGUCAUUCAUAUAUGGCCCACAUAUGCAUAUGCAGUCAGGAGCAGCAGUGAUUCCAUGUGAACUGAUGUACAAAAAAUAGCACAAGGAAAUGUAUUCUGUUCUUUUAGAAAUGUAUUCUAUUUUUUUAUAAUUAAGUGGCAAAGGAAUUUUGUAACUGUGUAGCCCCAUGCAUCUAAGGGGGAGCACGUUCUCUGCCUCCUGACAAGUAGCUACUCUGCAGAGAGAGUUUGUCUUCCACAAAGGGCUUUAUGUACAUGAUUCCAUCUCUCAGUGCAGCCCUGUGAAGUAGGUGUUUCUGUCUUACACAGCAGUUAAUUGAGGUAACUUGUCCCACUUCGCGCAGCCAGUUGGCUGUGGACCAGGGAUUCCAGCACAGGUCUGUCUGUACCCCAGGCCUGUGACUGAACUGUCCCACCACGAGUGCCAGAAACAGUCUGUUCAGUUGUCCAAGGUCACUUCAACGCUUUAUCACAGUGGGGCGGGACAGGGCGGGGGUCAGAAUUAGGUGCUAGAGAGUUUCAGAUUUGUAGUAACAGUUUUGCUAUAGGAAUUUCAACAUGAAAGGUAUUUAUAAAGUUACAUACUUUCUAAGCAAACCUAAACAUCACUGGGCCUUAUAUCUAGUUUUGCACAAGAGUAGCGGCCCUUCUCUUCCUAAAACCCAGCCCUUGACUUCCCAGGUGUAAGUAAUUCACAUAUCAUCAUCAUGAUUUUUGCUGUAUCUGCAUACCAGUUGUAAUAUUUUCAUUUAAAUUAGCUCACUUUUAAAACUAAAAACCUACUUCAGCCUUAUUUAAGAAUAAUGUUUGUAAAAAUUAUGGGCUUCGUUUACUUAUUCUAUUUUUUCUAACAAGUAAAUGUGUUUAUUUAAAAUAAACACAUAAAUAUUCUUAUAAACAUUCCAUCCUGUAUACCAGCUACUGCUGCUUCAGGAUACCUGAUUUAAAUUGCUUCUUACCUUUAUCCCUUAUGGUCCAUCAUCAUGAUAAAGUGCAAGGUCACUCAGAUAGCUAGCUGUGUAGCCAUGUGUCUGUGGGCCCUUUUUCUUUGAUACAGGCAGUAUUAGUUCUGUUUGAGAAUAGAUCGCAUCAUGUAAAUUGCAUUUCCUAACUGGUCACAUUAUGUCUAAAUCUUGUUAUUAAAACUCCUCCAUGUUAUGGAGGAAAAAAUGGUUAUCCCAGCAUGCCUGCUGCCAUUCUCCACUGCUGCAGCUAUGGCGGUGCAGGGAGCUCUUUUCUACUGUGCCUGGAUGUGUCUUCAGAAUCCUUCCUGAAAGAGCAAGGCAGAAGUCAUUAGAACUGGCAUUGGCAUCCAAACCCAUUCUUUUUUUCUAAGUGAAAUACAGACCACUAGUCCUGAGGACAGUUUUCUAUUUUCCAACCUAACGUUGGAAAAUAGAAAAGAGUAACUGAUGGUACAUCAGUUUUCAUGUUAAGUUUUAAACUCUUUCAAUGUUAACAUUAAUAUAUGUGAUAAUUGUUUAUUCUUAAUAAUGACAUUAGUUAUCAUCAUUAAUAUUUUUUGAUCACUUAGUUUGUGCCAGGUAUUGUAUUUGCUUUAUCUCACAGUCAUUGAGUUUUAUUUUCAGAAUUCUGCCUACCAUCCUGGUUUUGCGGGUGACAGGCAUCUUUCUCUUUUUGGUGGGUGAGUGCCUAGGAGCUUGUCCAUUACCCAGAGCUUUAUCAAGCACACCUGCGCGGAAGUUAAGUGACGUAGUUGAGGCCAUGGGAAUUCUGCUCUUAGUCCCACCAUUCUAUCACAAGUCAGUACAGAUUUUGCAGAGGUUACAAUAGUAGUCAAAACACAAAGUCAUAUGAGCACCAAGGAGGGAGAGAGAAUUUCUGACUGGAGUCAUUAGGGUUAUUUUUAUGGAAGUGGUGGAAGAGAUGUCUUUUAAGUAGAAUCUUUCAGGGGGUGGGGAGGCAGCAAGUCGGGCAGGGAGGGCAUUUCAGGUAAAGGUAAGGAAAAGUGUACAGUUCAGGGAAUGAGUAGGGGAUUGUAGCAGACUCGACUGGUAAGGUCAGUGGGAGGCUAGCUUAGGGGGGCCCAAGUACAGGUUACACCACCAGCUCCAUGUGAAAAAUGUACUUUAGCUCUGCAUCAUGGUUAGAACUCAUUGUAAGAGAAUUAUUAAUGUUAAAUUGCAUCUGCUGUGGACCUGAAUUUAAUUGAUAUAUGUUUAUUCUCAGCUUAUUCUUAGCUUACCUUAUAUAAUCUACAUUGCCAUGAGGCCAUCAAAAGUUGUUACAGCAUUAAAUACUUUUUUAUAUUGGAUUUAGUCAUUGCUUUUCCAUAUUGACCUGUUUUUAUGUAUUUCUUAGUGCUCCCAAGAAGAUAUUGCUGAUAAACUGGGUUUGGAUAUCUCUGCAACAAAGGCAGUCCUCAUAAGUAAUCCUAAAACAGCUGAAUUUCAGGUGGCACGCACUACCCUUCUUCCUGGCCUCCUAAAGACCAUAGCUGCGAAUCGGAAG